GUGUCAGCAGCCGCGGUAAGACGUAGGAGGCGAGCGUUAUCCGGAUUUACUGGGCGUAAAGCGCACGCAGGCGGCUUCGUUAGUCGGAUGUGAAAGCUCCUGGCUUAACCGGGAGAGGCCAUUCGAUACUGCGAGGCUUGAGGUUGGAAGAGGGGUGUGGAAUUCCCGGUGUAGUGGUGGAAUGCGUAGAUAUCGGGAGGAACACCUGUGGCGAAAGCGGCACCCUGGUCCACACCUGACGCUGAGGUGCGAAAGCGUGGGUAGCAAACAGGAUUAGAAACCCCCGUAGUCC
rnacentral:rRNA from 1 species